rnacentral:rRNA from 1 species
UACGGAGGGUGCGAGCGUUGUCCGGAAUCAUUGGGCGUAAAGGCGCGUAGGUGGCCCGGUCAGUUCGUGGUGAAAGCGCGGGCUCAACCCUGCGUCGGCCAUGAAUACUGCCGCGGCUGGAGCACUGUAGAGGCAGGCGGAAUUCCGGUGUAGCGGUGGAAUGCGUAGAGAUCCGGAAGAACACCGGUGGCGAAGCGCCUGCUGGCAGUUGCUGGCACUGAGGCGCGACAGCGUGGAGCAACAGG